UCUGCCCCUAGAUCAUUACAAGUGUGGUUUUUGUGUCAUAUGUGUGUCAGUAGGUGGCAGAGAGGAGAGAAGCUAUUUCUAAGCUCAGUGUUCUGGUCUGUGAACAUCUGAAUAAUUAAGAGUCUAACACA